UUAUAGUGCCUACCACUGCUUCACUGGCAAGGAAAUGGAAAGGAGCCAUCAUUAACAGAAUACUUUCACCUGCUAUGACAAACCACAGUCUGACCUGACAAAGCGCUGUCUGUUGCCCUGGUUUUGACAAGAUGAAGACUGAGAGUGAAGGUGUGCCUCGGGACAAAGGGGGAUUGGGUUGCAUUAGCUGUGCCUCAGUGUGUUGUUUUAUGUACUUCCUCUAAAUGGUUGGUACCUUCAUGCUUCAUGUUCUCAAACCAGUGAUUUACUAAAUUGGGGUUCGACGUUAAAACCCGAAAAGUAACUAGCAAAUAAAUUGAAGUUAUGUGUAAAUUGUAUAUAUCUGUCUAAAUUGGCUGUUCAAAAGGAGUCAACUGAUUGUAACUUAACAUGCGGGUAUAAACUAAUCGAUUUACUAAACUUCAUACCAACUGAUAAUCUUGUGUAAAUAAUUCAUCCGCCACUUCUUUCCCAGUCAAGAGUUUCAUGAUCCUCCAAAUCACUAGAAGGGAUAAGGGAGAAGUCAGCCGUGGAAAAAGUUGGGCUCAGGUGGGUGCACGUAGGCUGGCCUUUGGUCACAGACACAAACACAGAGACCGCAGAGUCCAGACCCAAACCAGAAGUGACAAUCUGUCCACUGUAAAGGUCAAAGUCUUUAUUACCUCUGAGCCUCCAAGUAUCUGUGGUCGCUAUCUAUUUACCACAUUGCAUCUGCAACCCCCCCCCUCCCCUUCAAGCUUCUUCCUCACCUCCCCUCAGUGGCACAGCAGUGGGCACCUUGUGGCAUUUUAGAGGAGAGAAGCCUCUGCAUGAAAUUCAGUCCCUGGCACAUGACAGAUCAUGUAAUGCAGUCAUCUACUGAAGGCUGUCAUUUGGAGACGUAAUACUGUUGAGCCACUGAGAGAGAUGUAAUAUAGCAACAACUGCAGAGGGAUUCCAUGGCACCACUUGAAAUAUACAGCUUAUUUAUCUGUAAAUAUAACACGGAGAUGUUCACAGGGCAGAAAGAGCUCCAUCUCCUCUUGGUGACAUUUUCAUGGCUUCCGCGUCACACUGCAUAAAAAAAAAAAAAAAAAAAAAAAUGCAAAUCAUGAUGGCUGAAGGACGCUGUAAUUCCUUCAUUGUGCAUCUUAAUUCAAGUGAUAAAGGACAGUGAAGGGUCAUUACUAUUUGUGGAGGGGACAGGCCUUUGAAGUGAAAGUCAGUAAACUAAUAAACAUCACAGUCAUUCCUUUGCUUUAACAACAAGGCGCAUGUUUGCGCAAUAACAACUUCUAUGCAAAACCUUGAUUUGAAUAUCAAUGAUGAAAAUUUGAAUAUACAUAAGCUGCAAAUUGCCAUUUCCCGUCUGUUUGACUGUGCCCUUAUUUUGAUUCUCUGAUGACAACAACAGCACAUCUUGGAUAUGGUGCUCUAAUCUUUGGUGUACCACUGCACAUUUGUCUGAGGUUGACUCAUAGCUAUUUACAUGCGGUUAACAUGCUUAAUGAGAUGUGUUCUGGUGAGUGAAGUGCUGGUCAUAUCUGGCAGCGGGGCCACUCUAAGCAUGGCAGGAAACUAAAUCAGAGUCAUUUCCCUUCAAUUAGUGAGUGAUUAACGCAGGGUCAGAGACGGCUGGCUGACCUUCUGGCCACCUAAUGACUUUAACCGGAUCAAUGGAUCUCCGAACGCCAGCCACAUCAGCAGCCUAGGAGCCGUGCAGUCAGUGGACAGGCCCUGCAGGAGCAAAGAGUUGUUGAAUCUACCACUGCCUGCCCGCCUCUCACCCUUGUGCUAUCUUUGGCUCUGUUGCCUGUCACCUCUCUCUUUCUCCCUGUAAUAUUGUCAGAUCAGCGCUCUUUUUCUUUUUUCCCCCCACAUACUGUUGGCUCACUGCUAUCUUUUUUAUCUCUGCCUGUCACUCUCUGUGGCUCCAAGCUGCUCCUCAACACUCUCGCCACGUUCUCGCUUUCUUAUACUUUUUCUUUUUAACCCUGCGUUAUCUGCGCGCAGCAGA